GGCGAACGGGUGAGUAACACGUGAGUAAUCUGCCCUGUGCUCUGGGAUAGCCACCGGAAACGGUGAUUAAUACCGGAUACGACCACUAUAGGCAUCUGUUGGUGGUGGAAAGUUUUUUCGGCAUGGGAUGUGCUCGCGGCCUAUCAGCUUGUUGGUGAGGUAAUGGCUCACCAAGGCUUUGACGGGUAGCCGGCCUGAGAGGGUGACCGGUCACACUGGGACUGAGACACGGCCCAGACUCCUACGGGAGGCAGCAGUGGGGAAUAUUGGACAAUGGGCGGAAGCCUGAUCCAGCAACGCCGCGUGAGGGAUGACGGCCUUCGGGUUGUAAACCUCUUUCAGUACCGACGAAGCGAAAGUGACGGUAGGUACAGAAGAAGGACCGGCCAACUACGUGCCAGCAGCCGCGGUAAUACGUAGGGUCCGAGCGUUGUCCGGAAUUAUUGGGCGUAAAGGGCUCGUAGGCGGUUUGUCGCGUCGGGAGUGAAAACACCGGGCUUAACUCGGUGCUUGCUUCCGAUACGGGCAGACUAGAGGUAUGCAGGGGAGAAUGGAAUUCCUGGUGUAGCGGUGAAAUGCGCAGAUAUCAGGAGGAACACCGGUGGCGAAGGCGGUUCUCUGGGCAUACCUGACGCUA
rnacentral:rRNA from 1 species